rnacentral:rRNA from 1 species
AGCGUACACGGUGGAUGCCCUGGCAGUCAGAGGCGAUGAAGGACGUGCUAAUCUGCGAUAAGCGCCGGUAAGGUGAUAUGAACCGUUAUAACCGGCGAUUUCCGAAUGGGGAAACCCAGUGUGAUUCGUCACACUAUCAUUAACUGAAUCCAUAGGUUAAUGAGGCGAACCGGGGGAACUGAAACAUCUAAGUACCCCGAGGAAAAGAAAUCAACCGAGAUUCCCCCAGUAGCGGCGAGCGAACGGGGAGGAGCCCAGAGCCUGAAUCAGCAUGUGUGUUAGUGGAAGCGUCUGGAAAGGUGCGCGAUACAGGGUGACAGCCCCGUACACAAAAGCGCAUGUGCUGUGAGCUCGAUGAGUAGGGCGGGACACGUGGUAUCCUGUCUGAAUAUGGGGGGACCAUCCUCCAAGGCUAAAUACUCCUGACUGACCGAUAGUGAACCAGUACCGUGAGGGAAAGGCGAAAAGAACCCCGGCGAGGGGAGUGAAAAAGAACCUGAAACCGUGUACGUACAAGCAGUGGGAGCACAGGUUUACCUGUGUGACUGCGUACCUUUUGUAUAAUGGGUCAGCGACUUAUAUUCUGUAGCAAGGUUAACCGUAUAGGGGAGCCGGAGGGAAACCGAGUCUUAACCGGGCGUUAAGUUGCAGGGUAUAGACCCGAAACCCGGUGAUCUAGCCAUGGGCAGGUUGAAGGUUGGGUAACACUAACUGGAGGACCGAACCGACUAAUGUUGAAAAAUUAGCGGAUGACCUGUGGCUGGGGGUGAAAGGCCAAUCAAACCGGGAGAUAGCUGGUUCUCCCCGAAAGCUAUUUAGGUAGCGCCUCGUGAAUUCAUCUCCGGGGGUAGAGCACUGUUUCGGCUAGGGGGCCAUCCCGGCUUACCAACCCGAUGCAAACUGCGAAUACCGGAGAAUGUUAUCACGGGAGACACACGGCGGGUGCUAACGUCCGUCGUGAAGAGGGAAACAACCCAGACCGCCAGCUAAGGUCCCAAAGUCAUGGUUAAGUGGGAAACGAUGUGGGAAGGCCCAGACAGCCAGGAUGUUGGCUUAGAAGCAGCCAUCAUUUAAAGAAAGCGUAAUAGCUCACUGGUCGAGUCGGCCUGCGCGGAAGAUGUAACGGGGCUAAACCAUGCACCGAAGCUGCGGCAGCGAACGUAUCACCCAAGACAACUUUACGGAGUUGACGAUUGACGGAGCGAAGCGACGUCAAAGCGUUCAUUAAAGUCGAGUUGGCUUAGGGAUACGUUCGUUGGGUAGGGGAGCGUUCUGUAAGCCUGUGAAGGUGUGUCGUGAGGCAUGCUGGAGGUAUCAGAAGUGCGAAUGCUGACAUAAGUAACGAUAAAGCGGGUGAAAAGCCCGCUCGCCGGAAGACCAAGGGUUCCUGUCCAACGUUAAUCGGGGCAGGGUGAGUCGACCCCUAAGGCGAGGCCGAAAGGCGUAGUCGAUGGGAAACGGGUUAAUAUUCCCGUACUUGGUGUUACUGCGAAGGGGGGACGGAGAAGGCUAUGUUGGCCGGGCGACGGUUGUCCCGGUUUAAGCGUGUAGGUGUGUGUUCCAGGUAAAUCCGGUUCACUUUAACACUGAGGCGUGAUGACGAGGCACUACGGUGCUGAAGCAACAAAUGCCCUGCUUCCAGGAAAAGCCUCUAAGCAUCAGGUAACAUCAAAUCGUACCCCAAACCGACACAGGUGGUCAGGUAGAGAAUACCAAGGCGCUUGAGAGAACUCGGGUGAAGGAACUAGGCAAAAUGGUGCCGUAACUUCGGGAGAAGGCACGCUGACACGUAGGUGAAGUGAUUUACUCACGGAGCUGAAGUCAGUCGAAGAUACCAGCUGGCUGCAACUGUUUAUUAAAAACACAGCACUGUGCAAACACGAAAGUGGACGUAUACGGUGUGACGCCUGCCCGGUGCCGGAAGGUUAAUUGAUGGGGUCAGCGUAAGCGAAGCUCCUGAUCGAAGCCCCGGUAAACGGCGGCCGUAACUAUAACGGUCCUAAGGUAGCGAAAUUCCUUGUCGGGUAAGUUCCGACCUGCACGAAUGGCGUAAUGAUGGCCAGGCUGUCUCCACCCGAGACUCAGUGAAAUUGAACUCGCUGUGAAGAUGCAGUGUACCCGCGGCAAGACGGAAAGACCCCGUGAACCUUUACUAUAGCUUGACACUGAACAUUGAGCCUUGAUGUGUAGGAUAGGUGGGAGGCUUUGAAGUGUGGACGCCAGUCUGCAUGGAGCCGACCUUGAAAUACCACCCUUUAAUGUUUGAUGUUCUAACGUGGACCCGUAAUCCGGGUUGCGGACAGUGUCUGGUGGGUAGUUUGACUGGGGCGGUCUCCUCCUAAAGAGUAACGGAGGAGCACGAAGGUUGGCUAAUCCUGGUCGGACAUCAGGAGGUUAGUGCAAUGGCAUAAGCCAGCUUGACUGCGAGCGUGACGGCGCGAGCAGGUGCGAAAGCAGGUCAUAGUGAUCCGGUGGUUCUGAAUGGAAGGGCCAUCGCUCAACGGAUAAAAGGUACUCCGGGGAUAACAGGCUGAUACCGCCCAAGAGUUCAUAUCGACGGCGGUGUUUGGCACCUCGAUGUCGGCUCAUCACAUCCUGGGGCUGAAGUAGGUCCCAAGGGUAUGGCUGUUCGCCAUUUAAAGUGGUACGCGAGCUGGGUUUAGAACGUCGUGAGACAGUUCGGUCCCUAUCUGCCGUGGGCGCUGGAGAACUGAGGGGGGCUGCUCCUAGUACGAGAGGACCGGAGUGGACGCAUCACUGGUGUUCGGGUUGUCAUGCCAAUGGCACUGCCCGGUAGCUAAAUGCGGAAGAGAUAAGUGCUGAAAGCAUCUAAGCACGAAACUUGCCCCGAGAUGAGUUCU